rnacentral:ncRNA from 1 species
AUAACUGGUAAUCCGACAGGUGGAAUGACGGGGUAACGCCCUGAAACGCCUGCCCUCGGUGGGCGUGCAUCGGCCGCAAAGCCGGUGUACGAAGCCCCACGACAACGGCCGAGAGCAACCGUAGCCGCCGCAACGGCGGCCGAAAGCGGUCUGAAGGCAGACUGUGUUGCCUAUAGGCCAAGGGUCUAUAAA